rnacentral:rRNA from 1 species
GUCUUGCUGUCACUUAUAGAUGGAUCCGCGCUGCAUUAGCUAGUUGGUAAGGUAACGGCUUACCAAGGCAACGAUGCAUAGCCGACCUGAGAGGGUGAUCGGCCACACUGGAACUGAGACACGGUCCAGACUCCUACGGGAGGCAGCAGUAGGGAAUCUUCCGCAAUGGGCGAAAGCCUGACGGAGCAACGCCGCGUGAGUGAUGAAGGUCUUCGGAUCGUAAAACUCUGUUAUUAGGGAAGAACAUAUGUGUAAGUAACUGUGCACAUCUUGACGGUACCUAAUCAGAAAGCCACGGCUAACUACGUGCCAGCAGCCGCGGUAAUACGUAGGUGGCAAGCGUUAUCCGGAAUUAUUGGGCGUAAAGCGCGCGUAGGCGGUUUUUUAAGUCUGAUGUGAAAGCCCACGGCUCAACCGUGGAGGGUCAUUGGAAACUGGAAAACUUGAGUGCAGAAGAGGAAAGUGGAAUUCCAUGUGUAGCGGUGAAAUGCGCAGAGAUAUGGAGGAACACCAGUGGCGAAGGCGACUUUCUGGUCUGUAACUGACGCUGAUGUGCGAAAGCGUGGGGAUCAAACAGGAUUAGAUACCCUGGUAGUCCACGCCGUAAACGA